UGCCCAGCAACUCCUAUCCUUACCUCCUCGUGGUACUGGCCGGGGUACGAGUACCCUUGGGGAAGAUCGGGUAACCAAUCCCGGUGAUAACUUUGAUCGCGUAUGCUGAUAGGGAAGG
rnacentral:ribozyme from 1 species